rnacentral:rRNA from 1 species
GACGAACGCUGGCGGUGUGCUUAACACAUGCAAGUCGAACGGUAAGGCCCUUUCGGGGGUACACGAGUGGCGAACGGGUGAGUAACACGUGAGUAACCUGCCCUCAUCUCUGGGAUAACAGUCGGAAACGGUUGCUAAUACUGGAUAUGAGCCUGCAAGGCAUCUUGUGGGUUGGAAAGAUUUUUUGGUUGGGGAUGGACUCGCGGCCUAUCAGCUUGUUGGUGAGGUAGUGGCUCACCAAGGCUUCGACGGGUAGCCGGCCUGAGAGGGCGACCGGCCACAUUGGGACUGAGAUACGGCCCAAACUCCUACGGGAGGCAGCAGUGGGGAAGAUUGCACAAUGGACGGAAGUCGGAUGCAGCAACGCCGCGGGCGGGAUGACGGCCUUCGGGUUGUAAACCGCGUUCAAUUGUGACGAAGCUUUUUGUGACGGUAGCAGUAGAAGAAGCACCGGCUAACUACGUG